rnacentral:lncRNA from 1 species
GUGUUUCACAGACUUUUUCUUAAAUCCUAAUACCAAUGCCCUUUAUUUUGCAGAUGAAUUAAAAAAUAAACUUAAUCAUUGCAAGCCUAAUUAGACCUAGGGACCACCCAUGUAUUUAACAUAGAGCUCAAAACUGUCUUUUUAUUUCUCAUGGGAACUGUGAUACCUAAGGUAAGAAAGAUGAUUUCAGUAAUGGGCAUCUAAGCAAGCAUUCAUGUGCAUGGAGGAAGACUCCUAUCCUACAUGGGUCAUUUUCCUAAGUUGUUAAUAUAGCAUAGCAUCACAUUGGAAAAGGUUCCCAAUGGGUUGAUAAACUUUACCUCAGAAUAAAUUCACUGUUUUUUGUUUUCUGCAGAAAUAUCAAUAAUUAGGUAAACAAAUUUAUUGAAUUCAACAGCAGAUAACCUUCAAAAAAAAAAAAGGAAAAAAUACUGUAGACAUAAAAGAGAAAGAUGUGUAUAUCAAGUUAAUAUUCAGGGGGCUAUUUGAAGAGUGCAACAGUGCAGAGAAUACAAAAGUAUUAACUUUUGUCAAGUUUGUACAACCUCAGGGAAGGUACGAAGGUCACAAACCAAGAGGGAUCCACAAAGGUAGAAGGUCACAUGAGCAGUGUCUCAUCACCUCAGAGGAUUAAGACAGGAUAUAUGCAAGACCAAUUCAACCAAGCCCUGAUUGCCUAUUGCUUCAAAUUCCCUCUUCAAAACCUAGAACCAUAUUCAGUGCAGCAGGGAAGAGCAGUUAACAGAUUCUGAGGUCUGGGGACCAGGACCAGAGAAAAGAGAAUUCUUCUGUAGCAAAUAUAUUUGUGCUGAGAGAAAAACAGCAGCUGCUAAAUGGCUUCUUUUGGCAAUGCUCAGGAUAUGUGAUGGAAGUAGGUAUCUAUGAGAGCAGGCUGGGUUUCCAAGAGAAACAGAACAUGAUGCCCCAACACCUGAAUCAGAACUUGGUUUUUCAGCUAAUCAAACCACCUCAGCAUCUGUGCCCAAUGCUCAAGCAUCCUUCUCUGAAAUAAAGAGGAGAGGGGCUGAGACCAGGGGCGACUCCUGGUGAGCAUCCCCAGCAUGUAGUCCUGGGCCAGGUCAAACUGGUAUGGGCUGCAAUUACAGCUUACCAAGGAAACUCUGAAUAAGAGUGUGGCAAGAACCUAUCCUCUACGUGACCCAGAAGAAAAGAUCAGUGUCACAUGACCUUAAAUAAUCCUAAUCAACGUAUUUUGAUAACUUUGUCCUUUCAAGUAUUUAAGCUAAGUACUGCUUUAGUCCUCCAGGUAAGACCUCUGUCUGUUACCAAGAUGUUCAGGUCAUCACUAGCCAUCCUAACAUACAUAGGAGAUUAAGUGGUGAGAGGGGAUAAAAACCUUUUAACAGUAGUUCUCUAUCCCUUACAUAACUGUAUAACUAGGUCUACCUGCUGCACUGAAGACCCCACUUGAAAUACAGCAGACUAUACAUUCCAAUAAACACAUCUUUUGCUUUGUUAGUUUUUGGACAAGUCUUUAUCUUAGCAACUUCCCACCAAUGUGCAGUCUACGUACAUAAUCUAUGGGAUCCCAUAACCUGAUCUGGCCUGGAGACCACACCCUAGGAGACAGUACUGUUUCAAGCUAAUUCUGUGUGCAUGGUAAUUCUUCACUGCCCUUCUAAUAUGAACAGUACUGCUUUGCACAUUUUCUGUUAUCUUUCCCUUGGCCCAAAGUGUUGGCUGAAAUUUGGAUUUUCAGUCAGCUCUGAGAACUUCUUUAUCAGAUAGGUACAUACAGACUUCUGGACCCAACAGACAUGUUGGCGCAUCUGCCACAAUGAAGAGAGAGCUGCUGAAGCAACCCCCAGAAGUACAGCAAAGCGUCAAUGAGAAUGAUACAUUCAAGUUUGGCAAGGAAGACUAAGGGAAAGAAUUCAAUAAAGUAACUUUUUAUC